CUGGGCAGGAGCCCCCCGGAGAGGAGAGCACGGUGGAUGGGGAAAGGACUACCUGACAAGAAACUCCUCCAGGCAGUCUGACGACGUAGCCGUGGGGCCGGCCGGCCCGGGAGGCGGGGAAGAAGCGCCGCGGCGGAGGAAUAUCACAGAGGUGAAGCUGCAUUCUGAGUUUGCCCCUUCCUGAUACUGCUCGCUCUGAUGAUUCGAUUAAAGGAGUUUCUGCCAGGAUUUCUCCAUGGAAGCUUCUCUUUUUUCCUUGGCUUCCAGUACCUGAAGUGCACAGACCUUCUUUACAACUCCGUGUGUGCUGAGACGUGUGUCGGGGCCAGGACUUUGGCCGGUGAAGCCCAGGACUUUGGCCCGUGAAGCCCAGGACGGCCCCUGUGGUUACAUCUGUGGCUGGUAUAGAAAGUUUCCAGCCCCCGAGGCCCCCUGGAGCCCCGCCCUGUCAGCACCUCCCCAGAGGUCACCUGCUGCUGUCACCCCAGACUAGCUUUGACUAUUCUUGAACUGCAGCGCCGGGAAACUCAUACAUGGAGCAGGAGGGGAGCCCCUGCAGCCUCACCCACCCGGCAACAGAGGGGAAACCAAAGCACUGGGAGCAAGAGAGCGAGAGGUCCUCACAGAGCCCAGGUUUGGGGCUCAGCUCUGACUAUCUGGGCCUCCCCAGGGAGGUCAGCGCAGCUCUCCGAACACCACUGUCUGUGAAGAGCAGGGCUCCUGGGUGGUGUAGACGAGGUAAGAGUCUCCCCACCAUCCCCAAAACUGCUGUGAAGUCAGAGCCUGCAGCGCCCCGGGGCAGUGGCCUCUAAGACACUCUGUCGGAUUUGGCCUUGUGUCGCUUUUACCAACAAGCCCCGCGACUAGAGCAGAGACUGGGCCAGGGAAGCCGCUGCCCUCUGUCCCCCAUGAGCCCCCCCCACCGCCAGGAUGGGGGAAGCUAAGGGGAGGGAAGGCGACUCUGCGGGCACUUCCCAGCCUCUGCACCCCCAUCUUCCUGUCAGCUGUCUUCCUCUUCCAUCAGGGCCUGGGGGGCAGGGGUGAGAGAGAGCUGGGAGGCCCUGGACAGCAGAGGGAGAGGAAGGGACAGAGGGGUCCCGCUCUGUUCGCUGUGUUCGGAGGCUGGGUCUGCAGGAGAGAAGCUGUUCAAGGUAACCACUCGCUGUGACCUGAGCAGGCUUGAGGCCCCCGGGGGGCCUAUGUGGCCCUGCUCAUGCUUCCUACUAACAGCCCUUCUCAUGGUGUCCGUUCUGUCCCCAAAACAGAAACUGCUUUCCAGGCACAUCCUCUGGGUUUGGCUUGUCUGGCCCUUGAGGCCCUCAAAAUCGGGCCUCCAGCCCUGUUGUGGAGAGUCCCCUCCUGCAGGCUGCGUUUCCUUCCCCACCCUCAGCCCUGGGGCUGGCUCCUCCCAACCAUCUUCCUGCAGGUGACAAUGGAAGGAGGGCACACUCCCCCUCAAGCCUCCCAUGGCUCCCCAGUGCUCUCAGGAUAAACCCCUGAACACAGGCCUGCAGGUCUGGCCCCUACAACCCUGUCUCCCCUCCUCUGCACCCCAGAUCUAACUCCAGCUGCCUCUCAACUCCUCCUGCUUCCCUGCUGUCUCCAGUGGGUGCAUCCCCUUUUCUGGAACAUUCCCCUACCACACUGUGGGGGACUCAGCGCUGCCCCCUUUUCACGAACCACGGUCCCACUCGGAGGCUGUCUGUGCACUGACUUCUAUGGUUUUGACUCGCAAUUCUGCUCCAGGGGUCUGUGUUUCUGUCUUCUCCGAGGACGAGGACGGCGCUGUCUUAUUUCCUGGGCGCCAGGGUAAGUCACGAAGUCAGGCGCAGCCACAAUUCAACUUCCAGCCCUAGGGACUUGACUCCUCCGGGGACCUCAUUCCUGUUCCGUAUUUGUCCUUCAUCGUCUGGCCUACUUCGCACAGUGUCCUCAAGGCUCGUCCACGUUGCAUUCCUUCCUUUCGAAGGCUGAAUAAUAUUCUCUUUAUGGAUGGACCACAUUCCGUUUGUCCAUCAUCCAUCACCGGACAUUUGGGUUGCUCCCACCUUUUGGCUAGUGUGAGUCACGUGGCUGUGACCAUGGCCACACAAAUACUAAGGCCCUGCUUUCAACUCAUUGGGUAUAGACCCAGGGAGAAAUUGCUGGGUCAUAAGGUCAUUCUAUGGGGCAUGGUGGUUUCAGAGAGGGGCAUGUUUUGCAACUUGGCUGAGAGAAGUCAGGGAAGAUAUGCUGGAGGGGUUGGGAAAGUGUUUCUUGCUCUCUCUUUUUUUUAAAGUAGGCUCCACGUGCAACCUGGGGCUUGAACUCACGACCCUGAGAUUGAGAGUCACUUGCUCUACCAACCCAACCAGCCAGGCGCCCCAGUGUGUCUUCGAUGUAUGAAAACAGCCCUCCACAAAAAGCUGCUGGAAUCAGGGAGUCCGGAGUCUGUGAACGUGGGUGGGAAAUCAUCACGUGCUGAGUUUAGCACUUCCCUCCUUUAUGCACUUGGGUUGCCCUUGAGGGAGACCCACAAAUGGCCUGCAUCCACAGUCUGCAACUCCUGUUCCCAGCCCGUGAGGACCUCGCCCUGCCGGGGACCACCCUGCAGACGUGCCUCUCUUUCAUGCCCCGAAGCUGCCCUCGGCCCCAUCUGCACCUGAGCACCCGCAUCGAUGCCUGGACCCUUGUCCAGUGUCCUGGACAUGCCCUGGGGGGACGUGAAGGACUGACUGUGCCAGCUCAGGAGCCCUGAGCCAAGCAGGUCUUGAAAGAUUGCCCCUCCCCCAUAUGAGCGUUUCAAACAUCUGGGGCUGUUGUGGCCAGGACCCUGCCCGCAGGCUCUCUCUGGAAAGCAGUCAGAGUGCCGGUCUGGGGGGUCACAUGCCCACUGAUGGAAGCAUUGGGGUCUGCAUUCUGGAGUCUGGAAGUUCUGCAGGCCAGGGAGGACUGAGUCAAGAAAGGCCUGGGGAGCAGGGAAGGCGAGGGAGGGUCUGGCCUCCUGGCCUGGCCUCCCUUUCUGCCCCUCCCUUUUGUUGUCUGUCUCUUCUGGGGCUGCCCGGCUUGAGGGGGGAGCUCACGAUGCACUGGCGGGGCUUUGUGCAGCCCUGCUCUCCACGAGGCUGAUGGGGGCACCACAGUGGCGGCAGGGGACACGGACGCAGCUGUGACCAGUGGUGCGCCAGGAGGGCAGAAGUCACCAACAGUUUCCGGGGGUCCCAACACCUGCUGGCACAUCUGUCGACUCACAGGUUGUCCCUCCAGUCUCCAGAUUCUGCUCCAGCCUCCUGGGGGCUGCCCAGACCUGCACUGACUGACACAGUAGGCACUGGUCACACGUGGUUUUUUUCACGUGUAAAUUAAUUUCAGUGAUGUAAAAUGAAAAGUUCAGUUCCUCAGUCCACAUUUCAAAGGCUCAAUAGCCACAUGUGUGACUGGCGGCUCCCGUAGUGGACAGAGCAGAUUCUAGAACAUUCCAUCAUGGCAGAAAGUUCUAUUGCUUGGCGCUGGGCCAGAUGCCUGUCCUGACCCCUGGGACACCUAGGCCUGGGAGGGAUAUGACACAGCCUCCUCCAGGGCCGCUCAGGGAAGGAGCCAGGAGGUUCCCCAGAGGCUCCCCUGUGUCGGGCUCCCUGCUCAGUGGGGACCUGCUUCUCCCUCUCCCUCUGCCCCCUGCUUGUGCUCUCUUGCUCUCU